rnacentral:rRNA from 1 species
GUUAGGAAUAUUGGACAAUGGGCGCAAGCCUGAUCCAGCAAUGCCGCGUGCAGGAAGAAGGCCUUCGGGUUGUAAACUGCUUUUGUACGGAACGAAACGGUCCUGGUUAAUACCCGGGGCUAAUGACGGUACCGUAAGAAUAAGCACCGGCUAACUACGUGCCAGCAGCCGCGGUAAUACGUAGGGUGCAAGCGUUAAUCGGAAUUACUGGGCGUAAAGCGUGCGCAGGCGGUGCUGUAAGACAGGCGUGAAAUCCCCGGGCUUAACCUGGGAAUUGCGCUUGUGACUGCAGGGCUGGAGUGCGGCAGAGGGGGAUGGAAUUCCGCGUGUAGCAGUGAAAUGCGUAGAUAUGCGGAGGAACACCGAUGGCGAAGGCAAUCCCCUGGGCCUGCACUGACGCUCAUGCACGAAAGCGUGGGGAGCAAACAGGAUUAGAAACCCCGGUAGUCC